UACCAGCACCCCGAGUGGUCGGGACGUUUUAUUGGGCCUAAAGCAUCCGUAGCCGGUUCUACAAGUCUUCCGUUAAAUCCACCUGCUUAACAGAUGGGCUGCGGAAGAUACUAUAGAGCUAGGAGGCGGGAGAGGCAAGCGGUACUCGAUGGGUAGGGGUAAAAUCCGUUGAUCCAUUGAAGACCACCAGUGGCGAAGGCGGCUUGCCAGAACGCGCUCGACGGUGAGGGAUGAAAGCUGGGGGAGCAACCGGG
rnacentral:rRNA from 1 species